rnacentral:tRNA from 13 species
AGCCAACGGCGAGAUUCGAACUCGCGACCCCUGGUUUACGAGACCAGUGCUCUAGCCUCUGAGCUAUAGUGGC